GUGAAACUGCUGACAUGUGUAUGUAUAUUUAACUAAAAUUGGGAUGAUUAGCAUGACCCCUGAACAAGGAUGACACACAAAUCCAUGAAGCGUUCCAUAUUUUU